rnacentral:rRNA from 1 species
CCUACGGGUGGCAGCAGUAGGGAAUAUUGCUCAAUGGGGGAAACCCUGAAGCAGCAACGCCGCGUGGAGGAUGACGGUUUUCGGAUUGGUAACUCCUUUUUUUAGAGGAGUUAAUGACGGUAUCUAACGAAUAAGCACCGGCUAACUCCGUGCCAGCAGCCGCGGUAAUACGGAGGGUGCAAGCGUUACUCGGAAUCACUGGGCGUAAAGAGCGCGUAUGCGGGAUAGCAAGUCAGAUGUGAAAUCCUAUGGCUUAACCAUAGAACUGCAUUUGAAACUGUUAUUCUAGAGUAUGGGAGAGGUAGGUGGAAUGCUUGGUGUAGGGGUAAAAUGCGUAGAGAUCAAGAGGAAUACUCAUUGCGAAGGCGACCUGCUAGAACCUAACUGACGCUGAUGCGCGAAAGCGUGGGGAGCAAACAGGAUUAGAUACCCGAGUAGUC